rnacentral:rRNA from 1 species
GAGUUUGAUCCUGGCUCAGGACGAACGCUGGCGGCGUGCUUAACACAUGCAAGUCAAGGGGUAGCAAUACCACUGGCGCACGGGUGAGUAACGCGUAGAUUAUCUGCCCCUAUCUCCGGAAUAACAUCAAGAAAUUGGUGCUAAAAACGGAUGAGGCACAAUGUGUCAAAGGUAACGGAUAGGGACGAGUCUGCGUCUGAUUAGCUAGUUGGUGAGGUAACGGCUCACCAAGGCGACGAUCAGUAGCUGGUCUGAGAGGACGAUCAGCCACACUGGAACUGAGACACGGUCCAGACUCCUACGGGAGGCAGCAGUGAGGAAUUUUGCACAAUGGGGGAAACUCUGAUGCAGCGACGCCGCGUGCGGGAUGAAGGGGCUUUGCCUUGUAAACCGCUGUCGGGUGGGAAAAAAGUUCCCUCGGGGGACUGGGAUUGUACCACCAAAGGAAGGACCGGCUAACUACGUGCCAGCAGCCGCAGUAAG